rnacentral:lncRNA from 1 species
GGUAAAGGCAUUUUCCCACCAAGCUUGAUGACUUGAGUUCUGUCCUUGGGAACCACAUAGCAGAAGGGGAGAACUGGCUGCUGCCAGUGGUUAUCUGAUGUCCACAGGUACACAGGGGCUGAUGUCCACAGGUCCACUGGGGCUGAUGAUGUCUAAGGUACACAGGGGCUGAUGUCCACAGGUGCACAGGGGCUGAUGUGCACAGGUGCACAGGGGCUGAUGUCCACAGGUGCACAGGGGCUGAUGUGCACAGGUGCACAGGGGCUGAUGUCCACAGGUACACAGGGGCUGAUGUGCACAGGUGCACAGGGCUGAUGUCCACAGAUGCACAGGGCUGAUGUCCACAGGUGCACAGGAGCUGAUAUCCACAGGUGCACAGGAGCUG